CACGUAGUUAGCCGUGGCUUCCUCAUUAGGUACCGUCAUUAUCGUCCCUAAUGACAGAGUUUUACGAUCCGAAAACCUUCAUCACUCACGCGGCGUUGCUGCGUCAGGGUUUCCCCCAUUGCGCAAUAUUCCCCACUGCUGCCUCCCGUAGGAGUCUGGACCGUGUCUCAGUUCCAAUGUGGCCGAUCACCCUCUCAGGUCGGCUACGCAUCGUUGCCUUGGUGAGCCGUUACCUCACCAACUAGCUAAUGCGCCGCGGGUCCAUCUCAAAGCGGAUUGCUCCUUUGAUUAUUCUACGAUGCCGUAAAAUAAUGUUAUGCGGUAUUAAUCUCCCUUUCGGGAGGCUAUCCCACUCUUUGAGGUAGGUUACCCACGUGUUACUCACCCGUCCGCCGCUAAUCCACUUCCCGAAGAGCUUCAUCGCUCGACUUGCAUGUGUUAGGCACGCCGCCAGCGUUCGUCCUGAGCCAGGAUCAAACUCU
rnacentral:rRNA from 1 species